rnacentral:rRNA from 1 species
UACAGAGGUCUCAAGCGUUGUUCGGAUUCAUUGGGCGUAAAGGGUGUGUAGGUGGCGCGCUAAGUCGGGUGUGAAAUUUCGGAGCUUAACUCCGAAACUGCAUUCGAUACUGGCGUGCUUGAGGACCGGAGAGGAGACUGGAAUUUACGGUGUAGCAGUGAAAUGCGUAGAUAUCGUAAGGAAGACCAGUGGCGAAGGCGGGUCUCUGGACAGUUCCUGACACUGAGACACGAAGGCCAGGGGAGCAAACGGG